rnacentral:rRNA from 1 species
GGGUUGUGAGGUUAAGCGACUAAGCGUACACGGUGGAUGCCCUGGCAGUCAGAGGCGAUGAAGGGCGUGCUAAUCUGCGAUAAGCGCCGGUAAGGUGAUAUGAACCGUUAUAACCGGCGAUACCCGAAUGGGGAAACCCAGUGUGAUUCGUCACACUAUCAUUAACUGAAUCCAUAGGUUAAUGAGGCGAACCGGGGGAACUGAAACAUCUAAGUACCCCGAGGAAAAGAAAUCAACCGAGAUUCCCCCAGUAGCGGCGAGCGAACGGGGAGGAGCCCAGAGCCUGAAUCAGCAUGUGUGUUAGUGGAAGCGUCUGGAAAGGCGCGCGAUACAGGGUGACAGCCCCGUACACAAAAGCGCAUGUGCUGUGAGCUCGAUGAGUAGGGCGGGACACGUGGUAUCCUGUCUGAAUAUGGGGGGACCAUCCUCCAAGGCUAAAUACUCCUGACUGACCGAUAGUGAACCAGUACCGUGAGGGAAAGGCGAAAAGAACCCCGGCGAGGGGAGUGAAAAAGAACCUGAAACCGUGUACGUACAAGCAGUGGGAGCACCCUUUUGGGUGUGACUGCGUACCUUUUGUAUAAUGGGUCAGCGACUUAUAUUCUGUAGCAAGGUUAACCGAAUAGGGGAGCCGUAGGGAAACCGAGUCUUAACCGGGCGUUAAGUUGCAGGGUAUAGACCCGAAACCCGGUGAUCUAGCCAUGGGCAGGUUGAAGGUUGGGUAACACUAACUGGAGGACCGAACCGACUAAUGUUGAAAAAUUAGCGGAUGACCUGUGGCUGGGGGUGAAAGGCCAAUCAAACCGGGAGAUAGCUGGUUCUCCCCGAAAGCUAUUUAGGUAGCGCCUCGUGAAUUCAUCUCCGGGGGUAGAGCACUGUUUCGGCUAGGGGGCCAUCCCGGCUUACCAACCCGAUGCAAACUGCGAAUACCGGAGAAUGUUAUCACGGGAGACACACGGCGGGUGCUAACGUCCGUCGUGAAGAGGGAAACAACCCAGACCGCCAGCUAAGGUCCCAAAGUCAUGGUUAAGUGGGAAACGAUGUGGGAAGGCCCAGACAGCCAGGAUGUUGGCUUAGAAGCAGCCAUCAUUUAAAGAAAGCGUAAUAGCUCACUGGUCGAGUCGGCCUGCGCGGAAGAUGUAACGGGGCUAAACCAUGCACCGAAGCUGCGGCAGCGACACUGUGUGUUGUUGGGUAGGGGAGCGUUCUGUAAGCCUGUGAAGGUGUGUCGUGAGGCAUGCUGGAGGUAUCAGAAGUGCGAAUGCUGACAUAAGUAACGA